CACGUAGGGUGCGAGCGUUGUCCGGAAUUAUUGGGCGUAAAGAGCUCGUAGGCGGUUGGGUAAGUCGGGGUGUGAAAACUCUGGGCUCAACCCAGAGCCGCCACCCGAUACUGCUGUGACUCGAGUGCGGUAGGGGAGGCGGGGAAUUCCUGGUGUAGCGGUGGAAAUGCGCAGAUAUCAGGGAGGAACACCAGUGGCGGAAGGCGCCGCUCUGGGCCGUGACUGACGCUGAGGAGCGAAAGCGUGGGUAGCAAACAGG
rnacentral:rRNA from 1 species